rnacentral:misc_RNA from 1 species
GAUGAAGAACGUAGCGAAAUGCGAUAAGUAAUGUGAAUUGCAGAAUUCAGUGAAGCAUCGAAUCUUUGAACGCAUCUUGCGCUCCUUGGUAUUCUGAGGAGCAUGCCUGUUUGAGUGUCAUUAAAUUCUCAACUACACUGACUUUGAAUUGGUGUGGCUUGGAUUUGGGGGGAAAAUUGUUGUGGGCUUUUUGUAUAGUCUGCUCCCCUGAAAUUGAUUAGCGGUACCUUUGUGGAACUGUCUACAGGUGUGAUAAUUAUCUACAUCUUAGACAUCUGCUGGAAUGCUGCUUUCUAAACCUUACUUGUAUUGACAAUCUUGACCUCAAAUCAGGUAGGACUACCCGCUGAACUUAAGCAUAUCAAUAAGCGGAGGA